rnacentral:rRNA from 1 species
AUGAAGAAAUUCAUCAAAGAUAAAGUACAAUCUUGCAUUAUCUGUCAACAAGCUAAGCCAGAAAGGGUUCACUACCCAGGGUUGUUGUCCCCUCUGCCAGUUCCUAAGAAAGCCUGGGAAUAUGUUACUAUGGAUUUCAUUUCUGGUCUGCCAGUCUCAGGUCAAUUUGAUUGCUUCUUCUUGGUUAUUGACAAGUUGCCGAAGUGUUCCUUGAUAAUGUGUACAAGUUGCAUGGGAUGCCAGAGUAUAUAG